rnacentral:pre_miRNA from 1 species
AAAGUACUCCUUCUGUCCCAAAAUUCUUGUCUUAGAUUUGUCUAGAUACGGAUGUAUCAAGUCACAUUUUAGUAUUAGAUACAUCUGUAUCUAAACAAAUCUAAGACAAGAAAUUUGGGACAAAGGGAGUAGUUG